CGCCGCGUCUGUUUGUGUAUUUGUAUGUUCGCGAUAAACUCAAAAACGACUGAAUGGAUUUUCAUGCGGUUUCCUUCUAUCGAUAGAGUGGCUCGGAUACCGGUUAAAUUUCCAAACCGUUAUGAUGUACUUGGCGCAAAACCUUUUAUUUUCGGUUUUGUUCGUAAUACCGUUAUUUUUAAACCGGUUUUUAGGGGAACGCUUUCAUAAAGUUCUUGUCACAUUAACCGGUUAAGAACAAUUAUAACCGGUUUAUUCCAACGCACGAUAAACAAACUCUGUUUUCUUUAAUUCUGGAUUUGUAACAAACUUCUGCU